GGCCCAAUAGUCUAGUGGUAAGACAUAUUGUUUUCACCAAUACAUCGCGGGUUCGAGUCCCGCUUGGGCUA
rnacentral:tRNA from 1 species